CCAAUUGCGAGAGGAGGCAUUGCAACAAGAAACGCGCUUAUGAAAGGCUAUAUCAGAUUGUGAGAGUAAAAUACAGGAGAAAGUGCAGGAAGCAGAAUGCUUUAUUCAAAGUUAAAGGAGAUGAAUGAAAUCGAGAAAAAUCUGAGAGCUGAACUGGAAAAUGCAGAGGCUUGGAUGCCACCCAUUCUAAAAAUCGGCUGCCGCGGUUGUUGAAUCCACAGUGCUGAAGAUGAAUCAAAUGCUGAAGCUUCAAAAAAAUCUGCUUUGCUAGACAAUUAGAGAAGAAGAAAAAGAAUUGAGCUCAAUUGAAGAGACAGUUAAAGAUUUAGAGAAUAAAUGUGAAAAUAUUCAGAAUAAAUCAUUGAGGCAGCCUUCUCCAGGUACCUUGCAUCCUAAACCAUCUUUUAGAGCUUGUUUUAUGAGCUCACUG